AAAUGGAUCGAGAAUCAUGUUUCGUAGCUUUUCUGAACAACAUUACAGAUUGGAAGACCUACAUAAUGCAGCGAGCAAAACACAGCAGCAGCAAGCAGUUGUUCGACUUAUUUCAUGGAGGGGGGCACAUCGAAUCGGAUAUUUUAUUUCGAAGAAAAAUAAAUGAAAAUGCAACAGUUGCAGACGAAAACGGCAGUAUUUAUUUGUCGAUGCUCGGAAAAAUAAUAUGCAUCUUGAACAUAUCCGUAAAGUUAUUCGUGGUCAUAGUGAUAUGAAGCGAACCGUGCAGAGAGUUUUGCAGUGAUGAAAUUGUAUGCUAACGUUCCGGUGCUGCAUCAUAUCGUCUCGUGAUGUGCGGUUGGAAAUAAGACCGAUGCCGUUCCAACGAAUCCAACGAUAUACUGAUAGCGUGUAGGAACCAGAACAAUUGAAGGUUAUCAAAAUUGAUUCAAGGUCAAUUCCUGCGAACAUGAGUGAACACCAGUUUUUGACUGAAGUGGCGUGUUUCAACACAAAAAGUAACCACCACCAGCAUCGCUAUGUGGAUUUACAAACGGAUCCUAUAUACUAUGACUUUCAUCAUGACAUAGUCUCCGGAUAUUGUUCAUGGGAGGUCUAAAUGUUCAUCUAUUACCAAGGACCGUUAGUAUUGAAAAUUGGAAUGAUUGCGAUAGCAUUUUGUCAGCCCAUUCGCGCUAAAUAAUUGCUAUUUGUGUAAUAAUAUGCUGAGAUGUUUAUAUUAUUGUGAAACUCUCAAAAAUAUUUCGAGAUAGUAGAGCGGUCUUCGUAAGUUAGGUGAUUUUGUUAUAGAUAACGAUUUAUAAUUGUUAUAUUUUUCAUAAUGCCCAGAAAUCAUUGAUUUCUUCA